rnacentral:rRNA from 1 species
GACGAACGCUGGCGGCAUGCUUAACACAUGCAAGUCGAACGGACAGGCCCUUCUUUUGUCGGGUGCUCGAGUGGUGAACGGGUGAGUCAUACGUUAUUAACCUGCCCUUGACUUUGGGAUAACUUCAGGUACCUGGGACUAAUACCGGGUAGGAGCUCCUGCUGCAUGGUGUGGGUUGGAAAGUUUAGGCGGUUGGGGAUGGACUCGCGGCUUAUCAGCUUGUUAGUGGGGUAGUGUCUUACCAAGGCUUUGACGGGAUGCCGGCCUGGGAGGGGGCCCGGACAAAUUGGGAUUGAGAUAAGGCACAGACUCAUACGGGAGGCAGCGGUGGAGAGUAGUGCACAAUGGGAGGAAGCCAGAUGUAGCAAAGCCGCGUGCGGGAAGACGGGCUGCGGGUUGUAAUCUGCUUCCGCCUGGGACGAAGAGUGAGUGACGGUAAUGGGUAAAGAAGCACCGGCUAACUACGUG